AAUGAACGUUGGCGGCGUGGAUUAGGCAUGCAAGUCGAGCGUGAUCAGUUUGAUGCUUGCAUUAGACUGUGAAAGCGGCGAAAGGGAGAGUAACGCGUAGUUACCUACCUCAGGGUUCAGAAUAGACACGGGAAACUGUGGGUAAUGCUGCAUAACAUUCACGGAUCAAAGGUGGGAUUCCGUCCUGAGAGGGGACUGCGUCCUACUUGCGAGUUGGUGGGGUAAUGGCCUACGAAGGCGUUGAUGGGUAGCGGGUGUGAGAGCAUGACCCGUCUCACUGGGACUGAGACACUGCCCAGACACCUACGGGUGGCUGCAGUCGAGAAUCUUCGGCAAUGCGCGAAAGCGUGACCGAGCGACGCCGCGUGCGGGAUGAAGGCCCUCGGGUUGUAAACCGCUGUCGUUGGGGAGGAAGGCUCCAUGAAGAAUGCGGUUUGACCUAUCCUAGGAGGAAGGACGGGCUAAGUUCGUGCCAGCAGCCGCGGUAA
rnacentral:rRNA from 1 species